UAGUCUAGAUAGUUACUGUAAAGAUGCUUU
rnacentral:piRNA from 1 species